AGUAACGCGUAAAGAACUUGCCUCACAGUUAGGGACAACAUUUGAAACGAAUGCUAAUACCUAAUAUUAUGAUAAUAGGGCAUCCUAUAAUUAUGAAAGCUAUAAGCGCUGUGAGAGAGCUUUGCGUCCCAUUAGCUAGUUGGAGAGGUAACGGCUCACCAAGGCGAUGAUGGGUAGCCGGCCUGAGAGGGUGAUCGGCCACAAGGGGACUGAGACACGGCCCUU
rnacentral:rRNA from 1 species